CAGCUCAUCUCUGGAAACUCUUUCUGAAGAAGGCUUAUUGUAUCACAAAGGGCUUAUCAGCAAAGUAAACAGUUUGGAUGAUGACUUCUCUCUCGGAGCUGAAGCAACACACUUAUCUGAUCAUCAUAGGAACAGAAUAAGGU